AUUGAACGCUGGCGGCAUGCUUUACAUAUGCAAGUCGGACGAGCGGCGAACGGGUGAGUAAUAUAUCGGAACGUACCGAGUAACGGGGGAUAACUAAUCGAAAGAUUAGCUAAUACCGCAUACUAUUCGAGCGGCCGAUAUCUGAUUAGCUAGUUGGUGGGGUAAAGGCCUACCAAGGCGACGAUCAGUAGCUGGCCUGAGAGGAUGAUCCGCCACACUGGGACUGAGACACGGCCCAGACUCCGACGGGAGGCAGCAUUGGGGAAUUUUGGACAAUGGGCGCAAGCCUGAUCCAGCAAUGCCGCGUGUCUGAAGAAGGCCUUCGGGUUGUAAAGGACUUUUGUCAGGGAAGCGGUACCUGAAGAAUAAGCACCGGCUAACUACGGGCCAGCAGCCGCGGUAAUUC
rnacentral:rRNA from 1 species